UGUGUGUGUGUGUGUGUGUGUGUGUGUGUCUUUCUGUUGCUCAGGUACUAGUUGUUUAUGUUCUAGCCAGUUUUCUAGCGUAUUAAAUUCCAAAUGAACUAAUCCCAACCUAGAGACUAGGCACAUGAGGUAGAUUUGAAAUGGUUGGAUAACUAACUCGCCUUGUCAUCCAUUUAAGGAUAGUUGAGGAUGUUUCUACUUGUUAUAAGACCUUCACAGUGAAUAGAGCUGUAGUGGGUUUGAAGUCAGGCUACUCAAAUGAGCAGAAUGUUAGCUUCUCGUUUCAGAUCAGUAUGUCUGCCCUCCACGGGUGUUAAAUAACCACACUUGUGUUCAGUUCUGGUUCCACACAAGAUCUGGACUAUAUAAAAUAGGUCAAAACUGCAGGACUUUUGUUGUGAAAUUAUUUCAAGCAAGGGAAAGCUACAUUCUUUGAAACAAUGUUUAUCUCUGUCAUUAAAACGUGUGGUUGCUCAGGGGCAGCAUGCAUGUAGGAAGACAUAUCAUCUGAAACAUUCUUUGUAACUUAAAAAAAUCUUAUUUUCUGUGAAACAGGAAGUCACAAUGGUGGGAUAUGGUGUAGCAACUAAUAAGCUUCUGUACUAAUAAAUUCAAAUAUAUUUUCUUAAAUAUGUCUGUGUUCAUUUUGGGUGCUGUUUUGUUAUUUGAUAAGAUCCAUUGCUACCAGUAGAGAUUUGAUAUGACAAGCUAUGUCUCUCUGCCAAACUGAACCAUUAAUGCAAAGUCCUGCCUGUUGCACUCUGGUUGGUUAUUUGAAUACUUUUUUUGAAUACUUUUUCCCUUCUAAUAAUCUAUACACGGUGUUUAUCAUCUGCAGGCAUUUAAUAGAAAGUGGAUGUGAUUUUAGCCUCAGGAAUAUGCUUUAACUGUCUUUACUGUCUGCUUAUUCUCUAUGGGGCAUUGGUGCGGGACCGCUUUCUGACUGUAGAUCAGACCAUUCUACUCCAGCGCCAAGAGAGCACACUGCAUUCUCUGAGGCUGCAUUGAACUGGUUCACCUCUUACCUGUUAAACCGCAAGCAGUAUGUUUCUCUUGGUGAGGCAAGGUCAGAGGAGUUCACAAGACAGGCAAUGCUUAUAGGCAACCCACAGCAAAUCACCAACUCCUACAACAUCUGCCCUGCCUUUGACAGCCCCAUCAUUCUCCUCUCCACAGUCAUCACCAGUCUGGCUGUGAAAUUUGACCCAACUCUCCCUUUUGAGAAUUUAUGGAAAUGCAGUACUAGGGGGCCUGUCAACAGUUUCAACUCAUAAAAUACAGCUCAUCCAAAACAGUGAUGCAAGGAUCCUGAGACAAUCAAAUAAUUGUGUCCACAUCUCACCAUAAAAUGUUCCUUUUAGACUAUAAAACAAUCAAUGGCCUGGGACCUGUCUACUUAUCUGACCUGCUCACCCCCUAUGAACCACCACAUCCUCUACGGUCCAGCAACAUCAAUCUGCUCAAUGAACCAAGAAUCCGGCUCAGAAAAUGAGACUGCACCUUUUCUUAUAUUGGACCUGACCUCUGGAACUCCCUGACAGCCUCAGGGCUACACAGACAGUCAUGUCUUUUAAAGCAGGUUUUAAGACACACCUCUAUCAGCUUACCCUUCCCUUUACUCAAAUUAUACUGCACAUUAUUGUAUAAUUAUGUAUUAUAAUGUUAGUUUACUGUAUUAUCAUUAUUGUUUAAUGUACACAGAUUAUAUUACAUUUUUAUCUGAUGAUUCUUUUAUUUAAUAUUUUUAUUUUCAUGCACUUUGAGAUUAUUUGUCCCAGUUUAGCCGGUACAGCCUCAUACUGUGCCAGUAGUUUCAUGUUGUUGUGGUAGUUUCAAGCUGUGUCGGUAGUUUCAUGUUGUGCCAGUAGUUUCAUGCUGUGUCGGUAGUUUCAUGUUGUGCUGGUAGUUUCAUGCUGUGCCGGUAGUUUCAUGUUUCCCAAAAUAAUGUAAUUUAGAGUAUUUCGUUAAAUAAAAAAAAACAACUGGUCAAAAUA